rnacentral:rRNA from 1 species
UGGGGGAUAUUGCACAAUGGGCGAAGCCUGAUGCAGCGACGCCGCGUGGGGGAUGAAGGCUUUCGGGUUGUAAACCUCUUUCGCUAUCGAACAAGGCCCGCUUAGGGUGGGUUGAGGGUAGGUGGAGAAGAAGCGCCGGCUAACUACGUGCCAGCAGCCGCGGUAAUACGUAGGGCGCGAGCGUUGUCCGGAAUUAUUGGGCGUAAAGGGCUUGUAGGCGGCUUGUUGCGCCUGCUGUGAAAACGCGGGGCUUAACUUCGCGCGUGCAGUGGGUACGGGCAGGCUUGAGUGUGGUAGGGGUGACUGGAAUUCCAGGUGUAGCGGUGGAAUGCGCAGAUAUCUGGAGGAACACCGAUGGCGAAGGCAGGUCACUGGGCCAUUACUGACGCUGAGGAGCGAAAGCAUGGGUAGCGAACAGG